rnacentral:rRNA from 1 species
AACGAACGCUGGCGGCAGGCUUAACACAUGCAAGUCGAGCGCCCCGCCAGGGGAGCGGCAGACGGGUGAGUAACGCGGGGGAACGUACCUUUUGGUUCGGAACAACUCCGGGAAACUGGAGCUACUACCGGAUAAGCCCUAACGGGGAAAGAUUUAUCGCCGAAAGAUCGGCCCACGUCUGAUUAACUAGUUGGUGAGGUAACGGCUCACCAACGCGACGAUCAGUAGCUGGUCUGAGAGGAUGAUCAGCCACACUGGGACUGAGACACGGCACAGAAUCCUCCGGGAAGCAGCAGUGGGGAAUAUUGGACCAUGGGCGCAAGCCUGAUCCAGCCAUGCCGCGUGAGUGAUGAAGGCCUUAGGGUUGUAAAGCUCUUUUGUCCGGGAAGAUAAUGACUGUACCGGAAGAAUAAGCCCCGGCUAACUUCGUG